AUUGAACGCUGGCGGCAUGCCUUACACAUGCAAGUCGAACGGCAGCGGGGACUUCGGUCCGCCGGCGAGUGGCGAACGGGUGAGUAAAGUAUCGGAACGUACCUUUCAGUGGGGGAUAACGUAGCGAAAGUUACGCUAAUACCGCAUAUUCUGUGAGCAGGAAAGCAGGGGAUCGCAAGACCUUGCGCUGAUUGAGCGGCCGAUGUAAGAUUAGCUAGUUGGUGAGGUAAAGGCUCACCAGGGCGAGGAUCUGUAGCGGGUCUGAGAGGAUGAUCCGUCACACUGAAACUGGGACACGGUCCAGACCCCGACGGGAGGAAGCAGUGGGGACUGUUGGAAAAUGGGGGCAACCCUGAUCCAGCCAUGCCGCGUGAGUGAAGAAGGCCUUCAGGUUGUAAAGCUCUUUCGGCCGGGAGGAAAUCGCACAGGCUAAUACCCUGUGUGGAUGACAGUACCGGAAUAAGAAGCACCGGCUAACUACGUGCCAGCAGCCGCCGUAAUAC
rnacentral:rRNA from 1 species